GGCUCGGUGGUGUAGUUGGUUAUCACGUCAGUCUAACAAGCGAUUGUUGGGCCACUGAAGGUCCCGAGUUCAAACCUCGGCUGAGUCA